GCUGGGAGUAAGAAGAUGUGUUGUGGGAAGACUGGGAGAAAGAAGGUGCUCAGUGAAAGAUCCGGGAGGACAAGCAUGGUCAGGAGGGGAGAGAGGCUACACUGAGCGUCACAGCAAACCUCUGAGGCAAGCCCUAACUGCCUCGAAGCGCAGGACCUCCCGAGGCAAAGCUGGAGCUCUGCUACAGCUCAUAUAAAGUUAAUUGGCCCAUUCAUUCCUCCGGGGGAAAAGGCAGGGCAAGGAAGAGUGGGAAUGAAAGAGAAGAGCUCGCCCUUGACAGAGCAGCACUGGCCUGUGUCCUAUUCCCAGAACCGUGUGCAUCUCAGGAUAUCCACAGGUGUUGGUGGACCAACCUCUUUCAUCUCCCCACUCUGGAAGAAGCAAGGUGGAAAACCUCAGCUCUGAUGGAAAUAUUUCAAGGAAACGCCUUGAGAUUCUCCUACUGAACUCCUAUACUGCUGUUAAUUUUUCCUGCAAAUUUUCCUGAUUGGCUUAAAGUUACUCAAAUACUGUGAUGACGGGUGACCUUAGAAAAACCUAGAUAGGUUGAUCUUGGCCUUAGUUACCAAGAGCUGUGUGUUACUUGAGAGCUGUGUGUGUUUACAGGAGUCCAUAGGUCUCUUCCACAGUUUUUUCAUCUUUUUAAUGAUUUCAUUAACAAAAAAUUGUAAUGAACCCACCAUAGUUCUGUUCAGGGGAGUUAUACCUGGUAUGAAUUUGUCUCUGUUUCUUUGUUCUAACAGAUUAAACACUAAACAACAACAUGCAAUAGAUGGAAAGCUUGGUAAAUCAUGGGGGAUGACAGUAUAUAAAGAAGAGGACUAGGGUGAGGAUUAUUUCUGCAGUCUGAUCAAGUAAUUACAUAGCAGUAUUUGUAUAUACCAUGAACACAUGUUCAUGUGAUGAAAUAUUAAAGCAGACAUUCGGGGCCUGAUUUUCCAUUGCCUCACCCUGGGUGGGGAGUCAUUUAUUAUCUGUGAAAGCCAGGAGUGAUAUGCUUCCCGCAUUUUACACCCAUUUUGCACAGGUGUAAAAGACAAAACAAGCAGCAAGGCUGAAUUGGGCUUAAGCCUACUC